CUGCACACAGAGUGGGGUCCUCAGUAGCUCCCGGGCAGCCCUGCCUGCACAUCUGUCUGGUCAGGAACACAGGUGCUGAGGCCUUGUCUGUGCGGGGCACCAUUCUGGGACCAGGGGUCCAUGGGAGGCAGAAAGGUGUCCAAGGAGGUAUAACCCAGGGACACUGUGGAGGCCUGGAGGGCGUCAUAGGAGGAGGACAUUUGGGGGACAUGGAACACUCAGUGUGAGGAAGGCAGAGAAGAGAGAACAGCUGCGAGAGGCCACUGGGGAGCUGGAAAGCGUGUGUCGCCAAAUACCCAAAAAGUGACAAGGGAGAAGUGGUUUCUAAUCGGCAUAGUGAGAAAUAGGCCUCGAUUAAAAACAAUAAUUCCAGAACUAAUAAAGGGAUAUAAUGUGAACAAGGAAAAGAACACAAGGCUUAGGGUCAGAAAAGCCCAGAUGUGAAUCCUGGUCCACGCUCGCUCGCUGUGUCCUUGGAAAAGAGACUAAAGCCAAGUUAACGCCCCACUGAGACGGGCGUGAGAACGGCAUCCUCACGAGGUAUGGGGGGCACGAACUGAGAGCCUGUGGCAGCAAGGACCCCCCCAGAUGUUCCUGGAAGCUGAUCAAGGCUUCAGUCAGAGCAUCAGGAGAGGAUGGGACAGGGGACGGGCUGGGCAGUGGCUGGCACUGGGGAGCAGAGAUGGAAGGGAAGGCCCAGGGCAGCGGCUCCUGGCCCCUCUCCCCUGCGCACCUGAACCCGAGCAGCAGCAGCCAUCCUUGUGCUCGGGGUCUGCAAGAUGCCCCUCAUGGGCCCCCCACCCACGGAUGACAUGGAACAUAGGACAGACAGCAUCUUGGCACACAAAAGGUCUCACAGUACUGUGGAAGGAGGAAGGGAGGAAAGAGGAGAGAGGGAAGGGAGAAGAGGCCCAGCCAGUCGUGAGGAUGGGAACCUCUGCCACUUGAGCUCUGUCCCAGAGCCCUGCAGAGGGAGGCCCCAGGCAGGCCCUGCAGAGGGAGGCCCCAGGCAGCCUGCUGUCGCUGGCAGCUAAGAAUGUGCUGUCCUGCUCCUAACCCAGGAGCGGAGCCUGACAUGGGGCGGGAACCCACAUUCCCCUUGGCGCGAGACAGCUGGGGAGAACUGUGUGGUGCAGAACCCCCGCUCGCCUGGGGGUGGUC
rnacentral:lncRNA from 10 species